GUGGGGAAUCUUGCGCAAUGGGCGAAAGCCUGACGCAGCCAUGCCGCGUGAAUGAUGAAGGUCUUAGGAUUGUAAAAUUCUUUCACCGGGGACGAUAAUGACGGUACCCGGAGAAGAAGCCCCGGCUAACUUCGUGCCAGCAGCCGCGGUAAUACGAAGGGGGCUAGCGUUGCUCGGAAUUACUGGGCGUAAAGGGAGCGUAGGCGGACAUUUAAGUCAGGGGUGAAAUCCCGAGGCUCAACCUCGGAACUGCCUUUGAUACUGGGUGUCUUGAGUGUGAGAGAGGUGAGUGGAACUCCGAGUGUAGAGGUGAAAUUCGUAGAUAUUCGGAAGAACACCAGUGGCGAAGGCGACUCACUGGCUCAUUACUGACGCUGAGGCUCGAAAGCGUGGGGAGCAAACAGGAUUAGAUACCCUAGUAGUCC
rnacentral:rRNA from 1 species